CUUACAACCCAAAUCUGGGAACUCUGGACAGUUUUUCUGUUGGGAAAACUGGCCAUAAAUUCAGCACAAAAAGGGCAUAUGAUUUCUUCAAGUCAAGGGGUACAAAGAAACCUUGGGCAACCGACGUUUGGAAGCCUUGCAUUACUCCGAAACACUCAUUUUUGUUUUGGUUAGGGGCCCAAUUAAAGCUCCUAACUAAAGACAAACUGCAUUUCUUGGUUAUUGAUCGUAAGUGUGAUUUUUGUGGACAUUUGGAGGAAACAGUUCGGCACUUAUUUUUUGAAUGUCCUUUCACUUCGGCUGUAUGGGGAAAUGUUAGACAUUAGCUUGGCAUAAAAAAAUCUAUGUCAACACUUGCUAGCUCUCUCAAGUGGAUGAAGAAAGAGGCUCGUGGGACAUCAUGGCGAAGCAAGGCUAAGAUAAUUGCACUUGCUAGUAUUGUUUACUACCUUUGGUUGACAUGUAAUAGGAAGAUUUUUGAAGACCUUUCACCCAACUUGGAUUCCAUUGAGAGACGGAUCAAGACACACGUAUAUAAAGUUAUAUUUUCUUUUUAUCCGGAUGUCUUGAUCCAUUUCGAGUCCUUGGCAUUGGAUCAUUGACUUUUUAUGCACUUCACUUUUGUUGUAUUUUCCGGGCAUGCCCGAAGUAACUGGAUGUGAUAUUGGUUUCUGUUUUACCCGUGUAUACCCGAUGUACUUGUAUAUGAACAAUUUUUAUCAGUUAUAUUUAUAUUUACCGAUAAAAAAAAAGAUUAGUAGCAAAGCAGGCUUGGAACUUAAUUUGCAACAAGAAGUCACUAAUUGUAUGUAUACUGAAAGGGAAGUAUUUUGAAACUGGUGAUUUUCUAGCAGACAAGAAUGAAAAUGGUUCAUUCUACCUCUAGAAAAACUUAUUAUGGAGAGUGGACUAAGGUGACAGGAAGAUGGAGAUGGGUAGUGACACGACCCGUCCCAAAUCGCGCUAGUGGACUCGAAACGUGACGUGCACCAAUGAUA
rnacentral:lncRNA from 1 species